rnacentral:tRNA from 1 species
GCAGUCGUGGCCGAGUGGUUAAUGCGAUGGACUAGAAAUCCAUUGGGGUCUCCCCGCACAGGUUCGAAUCCUGUCGACUGCU